rnacentral:rRNA from 1 species
AGGGAUUGCCUCAGUAACGGCGAGUGAAGCGGCAAAAGCUCAAAUUUGAAAUCUGGCUCUUUUAGGGUCCGAGUUGUAAUUUGUAGAAGAUGUUUCGGGUGUGGCUCCGGUUUAAGUUCUUUGGAAUAUUACAUCAUAGAGGGUGAGAAUCCCGUAUGUGACCGGCAGCCUUCGCCUAUGUGAAACUCUUUCGACGAGUCGAGUUGUUUGGGAAUGCAGCUCAAAAUGGGAGGUAUAUUUCUUCUAAAGCUAAAUAUUGGCCAGAGACCGAUAGCGCACAAGUAGAGUGAUCGAAAGAUGAAAAGCACUUUGGAAAGAGAGUUAAACAGUACGUGAAAUUGUUGAAAGGGAAGCGCUUGCAACCAGACUUGCACGCAGUUGAUCAUCCGGUGUUCUCACCGGGGCACUCUGCUGCGUUCAGGCCAGCAUCGGUUUUGGUGGUUGGAUAAAGGCCUUGGGAAUGUGGCUUCCUUCGGGGAGUGUUAUAGCCCUCGGUGCAAUGCAGCCUACCGGGACCGAGGACCGCGCUUCGGCUAGGAUGCUGGCGUAAUGGUUGUAAGCGACCCGUCUUGAAACACGGACCAAGGAGUCUAACAUCUAUGCGAGUGUUUGGGUGUUAAACCCAUACGCGUAAUGAAAGUGAACGGAGGUGAGAACCCUUAAGGGUGCAUCAUCGACCGGUCCUGAUGUCUUCGGAUGGAUCUGAGUAAGAGCAUAGCUGUUGGGACCCGAAAGAUGGUGAACUAUGCGUGAAUAGGGUGAAGCCAGAGGAAACUCUGGUGGAGGCUCGCAGCGGUUCUGACGUGCAAAUCGAUCGUCAAAUUUGCGCAUAGGGGCGAAAGACUUAUCGAACCAUUGAACACCUACUAGGUGGUUAAGAGGCCUUAGUACGGCCUAGUCCUCACCGAGGGCGACAUUGUCAAAUUGUUCGGGGACCUCCUGAUAACUCUCAGACUACCGCAGCCCGCCCGAAAGGGGGGUGCGCACCGGGCUAACGACCCUGGGGAUGGUAACAACGUCUGGGUAGGGAAGAUCCGCAGCCAAGUCCUACCGCCCUCCGGGGCCACGGAUGCAGUUCACAGACUUGAAGGCAGUGGGCUCCCCCGGGAGCUUAAGAUAAAGUCGAACCCCCCGGAGACGGGGUGGAGGGAGGAGAGUGCGUCGCACUCAGAGUCCUUCAGGGCCCACGGUCCCGAGC